rnacentral:lncRNA from 1 species
GAUCUUCUAUGCCAUCGCGAUUUCUCCAUCACUACGGAUUCUUCAUCAUGAAGGUAUGAUUUCUUCUCUGUUUUAGGGUUUUAAUGCUCGGUCGUGCUAUAUUGGAUCUCUUCGUCAAGGUUCAAUCCUUUGAUUUUAGACAUACAUCUUGCAAUUAUGUCAGCUACGACACUUAAUUUUGAAGGAUCUGGAUGGGUAGAAAGCUCAAGACUUUGGCUGCACUUAAAGAGGAGGGGACUGUUUUAAUGGAGGGAGGAACAAUAUGAUUUGAAAAGGUCCGGUAACUCAGAGACAUUUCCGGUGUACCGAGCACUGGCAGAAGGUUAUUAAGAUAUCGGAGGUUUCAUGGUGGAUGGUUUGGGCGAAGGCGACAAAGACGUUUUUUGGCACCAGGGUUACAAGGAAAACAUAGAAGCUGCUCUUCAUGUAUUUGAAGGAAUUGAUAUGUGUAUAUGAAAAGAUUAUCCAGUAGGAUAUUGCUCUUUGAUUACCUCAACUUCUAAUUGGUUUGGCAAUGGAACUAUCUCCUUGUUUCUCCGUUCAUUCAUGACUCAUCUAAAGUUAGAUAAUUCAAUGAUAAAGAUGAUUGAAACUAAUGAUGCUGGAUAGCUUAAGGAAUCAAGUGGGAGAGUUUGGAGACGGGAUCUAUAUCAGUUGCUAAGUUGCACAGGCUUACAGCUACCAAUGGUUACUUCUGAUUCAAAAACCUGGUGGACUUGGUGUACGAGAAGAAGAUUUAGCAGUGAGCAUUUGAUUGAGCAGUAACAGAUGCAGAGUUUCUUCUCCCUGAAAUCUUUGCUUUAGAAGACAUGAAGCAUGCCAAGUCUGAAGAUGGAAAAAUGCUUAGCAAGCCUUUUUUAGACGUCUGCAAAUAGAUAUUAUUCUACCAUCUUGUAAGAACGUUUUGUAAGAGAAAGCCUAAUUAGUUGUUUGGAACCUUAAAAGGGUGAGGUUUUACAUAAGGUGCAUUUUCAGUUGAAAUUGGUUAAAUGGAAGGAUCUAGAAAAAGGAGGCUCCAAGUAUGGGGUUAAUUGGGCGGGGUAGAAUCAAGGCAUGAAAAUUUUAGUGGGCUUAAGGUUAUAGAGGGUCAAGACAUGAUGACCGGAUGCAAUAUUGUCGACUAAGUGUUGUUAUGACUACUUCGUUCAUGGUAGAUGCAAAUAUAUGCAAAUGUACAUACAUUUGUU